ensembl:lncRNA
CAGAAACUGUUCUCCAUUUUCUAUUCUGGGUUGAAGGCAGAUUCUAACCAGAACUGGAAACGAUCAAGCUGCAUCUUCUAAAGUUAACAGGGUUUAGAUGAGUUUUACAGUAUGCCCUGGCUGCCAGCAGAAGUUAACCAGUUUGGACAAAGCAGAGGAGUGAAGUCUGAAAUUCAGGAACAUAGGCUGCUGUUGCAAAGCCAUGGGAGAGCUCUUCUUUCUAGGUUACCCUUCGGGUCAAGACCAGCACUUAUCCAGUCAGAUUCCACCUCUUCUUCCCUGGUAGGUGUGCCCUAAAGAACUCCAGCUUAAAUGAUUUCUCAGCUAUUUAGCCCUUGCUGAGAUAGUUUAAAAGAAUGGGUAGUUUUGUCCUAUGUAGACAAUCCCACGUGCUGUGACCCUCCCAGGAACCAGACACACUCUAUAACUUUACUGUAUAGUAGAGGCUUGCUUGUUCAACAAGUCUUCAUACUGGUGUGAAUCUGCUUCAAAAAAAGUCAGAAUUCAAUGUGAUAUAGAAGCAGAUGCACAAAACCCUCAAAGGAUAUAUAUAAGCUAAAGCAAUACUGACAAAAGACAAAUCAGCAAUCAGCUCCAGGCUGCUGAGCAGCUUCUGUGAAAUGACUGCAGUCAUCUUAGCCCUGUUUCCACUGAACAGCUAUUAUCAGGCCAAUGCCACCAGGAAAGCUGAGGCAAACAGGCACAGCAGAAGAACUAAUCUCUUCCUUGCAGUUUGGGGCUGAAACUUUUUUUUUUGGUGGGGUGGGGUGGGUUGCAGAUGCAAUGGCAUGGGCCAGCUGCUGAGUUUCAAGCUACGGAGCACAUUCAGUUCACAUCCAAGUAACAGCUGUUAUGCUAAGUCACAGCAACAGAGAAAUGUCUACUACAUUAGUGGCGUAAAAUGACAUCCAACAGCAAACUGGACAAGACUGCAGUACAAAAGCCAUCUGGGCUGACAUCAUCUCAGUCCACAUUUACUAGAUGAGGGACAACCAACUGUUCAUAGGUUUGCAACUAAUGAGGUAGGUUAAGAGUUCAGGUAAAAAUUCUUUCUUGAAGGAGAAAGUGAGGGACAGGAUUAUGGCUAGGAGCAGUUCUGUACAGUAUCUGCACUGAUUCCUGCUCUUCAAGAAGUCAGCUGUACAUGGACUUUUUCCUUCUGGUUUUAUUAUGUUUGUUUUCAAAGCUUAGAUUGAGGAACAAGCCACUGGAUUGCACAUAAUUUGUGGGUAAACUGGAAAAUCCUGUUUUGAAUACCCACUGAAAAGACUGAAUUCAAAUGUUAGCACUGUCAAUCACUACAGCACAACAUGCUGUUUUUCUAACCCUCCUGGACAAGGCCAUGUUUUACCAAAGACAGAGGGCUUGUCUACACAUGCAUUUAUGCCAUCUUAAAUUUACUGUGCAGUAAAUUACUGUGCAGUAAGUGAGAAUAGGCCAGCAUCUACAUAUGCAGGCAUUAAAGUACAUUAACGCUGUGUGUGGACUGGCUUGGAACUAAAGUUAGUCCAAAGUCAGUCCACACAUAGUGUUACUGUGCAGUAAGGCAUAUAGUAGAGUACAGUAAGGCAUACAGUAACUAAUUGGGUGUAAAUUUGGUACCCGCUUGAUGCAAGUAUCAAAUUUACGCUCAAGUCAGUGUAAAUCACCAUAUUUACUAUGCAGUACAGGUGUGCAUGUGUAGAUAUGCACCUGUAUUACACAGUAAUUUAAGUUACUGAGCAAUAAAUGUGCACAUGUAGACA